rnacentral:tRNA from 1 species
GCUUGGAUGGCUCAGCUGGUUAGAGCGCAGGUCUCAUACUUUCGGUAUGACCACCGCCCUGUGGGUAAUCCUGAGGUCGUGAGUUCGAUCCUCACUGCGAGCA